rnacentral:snRNA from 1 species
AUACUUACCUGGCAGGGGAGAUACCAUGAUCACGAAGGUGGUUUUCCCAGGGCGAGGCUUAUCCAUUGCACUCCGGAUGUGCUGACCCCUGCGAUUUAAAUUUAAUUUAAGGAAAAAUAAA